GGGGGUUUAGUUCCAGUAUAUGAUCGUAUAUUGCGUAAGCCUUCCACAGCACCAAUGUAUGAUUAUAUGCUGUAAUUAAAUCCCCAU